GAUGAACGCUGGCGGCGUGCCUAAUACAUGCAAGUCGAGCGAACGGACGAGAAGCUUGCUUCUCUGAUGUUAGCGGCGGACGGGUGAGUAACACGUGGAUAACCUACCUAUAAGACUGGGAUAACUUCGGGAAACCGUAGCUAAUACCGGAUAAUAUUUUGAACCGCAUGGUUCAAAAGUGAAAGACGGUCUUGCUGUCACUUAUAGAUGGAUCCGCGCUGCAUUAGCUAGUUGGUAAGGUAACGGCUUACCAAGGCAACGAUGCAUAGCCGACCUGAGAGGGUGAUCGGCCACACUGGAACUGAGACACGGUCCAGACUCCUACGGGAGGCAGCAGUAGGGAAUCUUCCGCAAAGGGCGAAAGCCUGACGGAGCAACGCCGCGUGAGUGAUGAAGGUCUUCGGAUCGUAAAACUCUGUUAUUAGGGAAGAACAGAUGUGUAAGUAACUGUGCACAUCUUGACGGUACCUAAUCAGAAAGCCACGGCUAACUACGUG
rnacentral:rRNA from 1 species